CACUACAAAACCUGAAAAUGGAACGUAGAAAUUAACAUUUAGUCCCAAAUAUGCUGGGCUUUGGACUCUUUAGUCUUGCCCUCUCAAACCUAGUAUUAGGAGAUCCAAAUUUACCAAAUUUCAUAGGGUUAAUCCUUUCCUGAACGACUCAGUCCAAAACCAACUUUCUCGAGAACAAAAAUGCCCCUCAGUUAAGUAACAUUAGUUCUUCGUUUUUCAGUUUCCAUUUUUUUCAUUUUCAUUUCAUGGAACAGAAAUCAUAAAACCUGAUCUCGUUGUUUCAAUGAAAGUUCAAUCUUCAAAUCUAAUUAGGAUAAUCAAACAAUCACUGAAUUCAUCUUGAAAAGUCUAAAUCGUCAUCAUCAGUUCCUUCUUUCGAAGAUUUUUAACUCAAAAUGAUGAAUUUCAGCGAAUUAGUAUGAAGAUCUCAUCAAUUAAAAGUGGAAGCAUCAAGGGACGAAUCAAACCGCUGACUCUAUCCGGAGCAAAACAUUCCCUCCUAAUUCAAGGACCAUAGGGGAUAUUUGUUUUAAAGAAAAGGAGAGUGCAUGUAACACAAGAAGAUUUUGAGAUGUUGGGGGCCAAGGUAAUGAAGAAGGAAACAUACAAGAACAUGUCACUCGAUCAGAGUUUGAAAGUUGAAAUGAAAAUCAUCAAAGCUCAAAUUUGGGACACUUAUGGUCAAGAAAGGGUAAUGUAUAGGGUUCCAGGAUAUCUAUCAUCGUUGGUUUGUGCAUAAUUUUGGAUCUCUAUCAUCGUUAUUAUGAGAUUAGAGCAACUUGAGGAUCUCCUAGAUUCCUCAGAAACCAAUCAGGAUCAACUUAAUAUAGUGGUCAGGAUGAAGAAGACGACGUCGAAGGAUGCAUCUAUUACGCCUCCAAGGUGUACGCUCAAUUUGAGCUAUAUUUCCAUAGAUCCUGCAUUGGUUGCAUAACUAAGCAUCAUCUCAACUGCCAACUAUGUUUAUUUUUGCAAUGCAACAAUAUUUGAGUGCCUCUCCUGUUCGGCGCAGUCCUAGUCCUGGGAAGAUGAGUGCAUCUCCUCGCAGGACUCCUCCAUCUAGGGGUGAAAGCCCUGAUAGACGCAUUCAUGAAAGUCCUGGAAAAAGGAGCCGAUCUCAGCGUUAACCUGCUCGUUCUCGUAGCCCAUCACAACAGAAUUCUGAGGCUAAUGUACUUUUCGAGGGAGCUUAAGAACGUUGAGAAUAACAAUGGACUUUUUUUUUUUUUUUGAUCAGAGUGGACAUGUUGUAUGUGGUGUACAAACUGGUGCAGCUUGUCUUGUCUUUGUAAUUUCUGGAUUUUUGUAGAUGUACAUGCUUAUAUACACUAGUGUAAACUAUGAUUUUUAAAAAACGAAAAUUAUAUAGUCAUAUGGGUACUCUUUUCGUAGAUAUCGAAAAAGAGCUUUCCAAAUAUAUAAAAUUU